GACGAACGCUGGCGGCGUGCCUAAUACAUGCAAGUAGAACGCUGAAGAGAGGAGCUUGCUCUUCUUGGAUGAGUUGCGAACGGGUGAGUAACGCGUAGGUAACCUGCCUUGUAGCGGGGGAUAUCUAUUGGAAACGAUAGCUAAUACCGCAUAACAAUGGAUGACACAUGUCAUUUAUUUGAAAGGGGCAAUUGCUCCACUACAAGAUGGACCUGCGUUGUAUUAGCUAGUAGGUGAGGUAACGGCUCACCUAGGCGACGAUACAUAGCCGACCUGAGAGGGUGAUCGGCCACACUGGGACUGAGACACGGCCCAGACUCCUACGGGAGGCAGCAGUAGGGAAUCUUCGGCAAUGGGGGCAACCCUGACCGAGCAACGCCGCGUGAGUGAAGAAGGUUUUCGGAUCGUAAAGCUCUGUUGUAAGUCAAGAACGAGUGUGAGAGUGGAAAGUUCACACUGUGACGGUAGCUUACCAGAAAGGGACGGCUAACUACGUG
rnacentral:rRNA from 1 species